GACGAACGCUGGCGGCGCGCUUAACACAUGCAAGUCGAACGGAAGGGCCUGCUUUCCCUUGUGGAUUGCGGGUACUCGAGUGGCGAACGGGUGAGUAACACGUGAGUGAUCUGCCCCCAACUUGGGUACAAGCCUGGGAAACUGGGUCUAAUUCCCGAUAGGACUGCAGGGUGGUGCCUGUGGUGGAAAACGAUUUUCUAGUGGUUGGGGAUGAGCUCGCGGCCUAUCAGCUUGUUGGUGGGGUAAUGGCCUACCAAGGCGGCGACGGGUAGCCGGCCUGAGAGGGUGGACGGCCACAUUGGGACUGAGAUACGGCCCAGACUCCUACGGGAGGCAGCAGUGGGGAAUAUUGCACAAUGGGCGGAAGCCUGAUGCAGCGACGCCGCGUGGGGGAUGACGGCCUUCGGGUUGUAAACUCCUUUCGACCGCGAGGAAGCCACCUGGUUGGAAGGGUGGUGACGGUAGUGGUAGAAGAAGCACCGGCUAACUACGUG
rnacentral:rRNA from 1 species